CCUACGGGGGGCUGCAGUGGGGAAUAUUGGACAAUGGGGGGAAGCCUGAUCCAGCCAUGCCGCGUGUGUGAAGAAGGCCCUCGGGUUGUAAAGCACUUUCAGUGAGGAAGAACGCCUGGUGGUUAAUACCCAUCAGGAAAGACAUCACUCACAGAAGAAGCACCGGCUAACUCCGUGCCAGCAGCCGCGGUAAUACGGAGGGUGCGAGCGUUAAUCGGAAUUACUGGGCGUAAAGCGCGCGUAGGUGGCUUGAUAAGCCGGUUGUGAAAGCCCCGGGCUCAACCUGGGAACGGCAUCCGGAACUGUCAAGCUAGAGUGCAGGAGAGGAAGGUAGAAUUCCCGGUGUAGCGGUGAAAUGCGUAGAGAUCGGGAGGAAUACCAGUGGCGAAGGCGGCCUUCUGGACUGACACUGACACUGAGGUGCGAAAGCGUGGGUAGCAAACAGGAUUAGAUACCCCGGUAGUC
rnacentral:rRNA from 1 species